UGAACAGCUUGCAGUGUGACAAGAUCUUGUUGAUGGUGAAAUAUAAGAAGUGAAUGCAAAAUUCCAAAUGUGAUUGCAUUACAGUCCUGUGGUGAGGGACUAUUAAAUCUCUGCUCUGUGGUGUGAUAAAACUACUACUUCCUGCCUGCGCCACUCAGACACUAUUUUUGGGGACUGAUCCAUGAGUUGUGAUACUGGCUCCUGCACAGACCAUGAACAAGAUGGAGCACAGCAAUGCUCCUGCGCAUUAACCUCCCACCAAAUCCAGCAAGAGGAGGGUUCACAGCCUCUCUCAGGGCUGCAUCUGACAAGAAGAGUGAAAAAAAUACUUGAUGAGAAAGGCAGGCGUUCUCUCAGGAACAAUCCCUGCUUAGAUGAGUUCCUGGAUGCUUCCACCCAUAUGAGAGAGGAGAAAGCUACAGAUACCGUAUCAGGAUGGCCAAGCUUUCUUCAGCUAAGCAAAUUAAUCUGUAGAGAAACAAAGCAAAAUGCAAGUUAA
rnacentral:lncRNA from 1 species